rnacentral:rRNA from 1 species
UCAAGUGAAGAAGCGCAUACGGUGGAUGCCUUGGCAGUCAGAGGCGAUGAAAGACGUGGUAGCCUGCGAAAAGCUUCGGGGAGUCGGCAAACAGACUUUGAUCCGGAGAUCUCUGAAUGGGGGAACCCACCUAGGAUAACCUAGGUAUCUUGUACUGAAUCCAUAGGUGCAAGAGGCGAACCAGGGGAACUGAAACAUCUAAGUACCCUGAGGAAAAGAAAUCAACCGAGAUUCCCUUAGUAGUGGCGAGCGAACGGGGAUUAGCCCUUAAGCUUCAUUGAUUUUAGCGGAACGCUCUGGAAAGUGCGGCCAUAGUGGGUGAUAGCCCCGUACGCGAAAGGAUCUUUGAAGUGAAAUCGAGUAGGACGGAGCACGAGAAACUUUGUCUGAACAUGGGGGGACCAUCCUCCAAGGCUAAAUACUACUGACUGACCGAUAGUGAACCAGUACCGUGAGGGAAAGGCGAAAAGAACCCCGGAGAGGGGAGUGAAAUAGAACCUGAAACCGUAUGCGUACAAGCAGUGGGAGCCUACUUGUUAGGUGACUGCGUACCUUUUGUAUAAUGGGUCAGCGACUUAUAUUCAGUGGCAAGCUUAACCGUAUAGGGUAGGCGUAGCGAAAGCGAGUCUUAAUAGGGCGUUUAGUCGCUGGGUAUAGACCCGAAACCGGGCGAUCUAUCCAUGAGCAGGUUGAAGGUUAGGUAACACUGACUGGAGGACCGAACCCACUCCCGUUGAAAAGGUAGGGGAUGACUUGUGGAUCGGAGUGAAAGGCUAAUCAAGCUCGGAGAUAGCUGGUUCUCCUCGAAAGCUAUUUAGGUAGCGCCUCAUGUAUCACUCUGGGGGGUAGAGCACUGUUUCGGCUAGGGGGUCAUCCCGACUUACCAAACCGAUGCAAACUCCGAAUACCCAGAAGUGCCGAGCAUGGGAGACACACGGCGGGUGCUAACGUCCGUCGUGAAAAGGGAAACAACCCAGACCGCCAGCUAAGGUCCCAAAGUUGUGGUUAAGUGGUAAACGAUGUGGGAAGGCUUAGACAGCUAGGAGGUUGGCUUAGAAGCAGCCAUCCUUUAAAGAAAGCGUAAUAGCUCACUAGUCGAGUCGGCCUGCGCGGAAGAUGUAACGGGGCUCAAACCACACACCGAAGCUGCGGGUGUCACGUAAGUGACGCGGUAGAGGAGCGUUCUGUAAGCCUGUGAAGGUGAGUUGAGAAGCUUGCUGGAGGUAUCAGAAGUGCGAAUGCUGACAUGAGUAACGACAAUGGGUGUGAAAAACACCCACGCCGAAAGACCAAGGGUUCCUGCGCAACGUUAAUCGACGCAGGGUUAGUCGGUUCCUAAGGCGAGGCUGAAAAGCGUAGUCGAUGGGAAACAGGUUAAUAUUCCUGUACUUCUGGUUACUGCGAUGGAGGGACGGAGAAGGCUAGGCCAGCUUGGCGUUGGUUGUCCAAGUUUAAGGUGGUAGGCUGAAAUCUUAGGUAAAUCCGGGUUUCAAGGCCGAGAGCUGAUGACGAGUCGUCUUUUAGAUGACGAAGUGGUUGAUGCCAUGCUUCCAAGAAAAGCUUCUAAGCUUCAGGUAACCAGGAACCGUACCCCAAACCGACACAGGUGGUCGGGUAGAGAAUACCAAGGCGCUUGAGAGAACUCGGGUGAAGGAACUAGGCAAAAUGGCACCGUAACUUCGGGAGAAGGUGCGCCGGCUAGGGUGAAGGAUUUACUCCGUAAGCUCUGGCUGGUCGAAGAUACCAGGCCGCUGCGACUGUUUAUUAAAAACACAGCACUCUGCAAACACGAAAGUGGACGUAUAGGGUGUGACGCCUGCCCGGUGCCGGAAGGUUAAUUGAUGGGGUUAGCGCAAGCGAAGCUCUUGAUCGAAGCCCCGGUAAACGGCGGCCGUAACUAUAACGGUCCUAAGGUAGCGAAAUUCCUUGUCGGGUAAGUUCCGACCUGCACGAAUGGCGUAACGAUGGCGGCGCUGUCUCCACCCGAGACUCAGUGAAAUUGAAAUCGCUGUGAAGAUGCAGUGUAUCCGCGGCUAGACGGAAAGACCCCGUGAACCUUUACUGUAGCUUUGCACUGGACUUUGAGCCUGCUUGUGUAGGAUAGGUGGGAGGCUUUGAAGCGUGGACGCCAGUUCGCGUGGAGCCAUCCUUGAAAUACCACCCUGGCAUGCUUGAGGUUCUAACUCUGGUCCGUAAUCCGGAUCGAGGACAGUGUAUGGUGGGCAGUUUGACUGGGGCGGUCUCCUCCUAAAGAGUAACGGAGGAGUACGAAGGUGCGCUCAGACCGGUCGGAAAUCGGUCGCAGAGUAUAAAGGCAAAAGCGCGCUUGACUGCGAGACAGACACGUCGAGCAGGUACGAAAGUAGGUCUUAGUGAUCCGGUGGUUCUGUAUGGAAGGGCCAUCGCUCAACGGAUAAAAGGUACUCCGGGGAUAACAGGCUGAUACCGCCCAAGAGUUCAUAUCGACGGCGGUGUUUGGCACCUCGAUGUCGGCUCAUCACAUCCUGGGGCUGAAGCCGGUCCCAAGGGUAUGGCUGUUCGCCAUUUAAAGUGGUACGCGAGCUGGGUUUAGAACGUCGUGAGACAGUUCGGUCCCUAUCUGCCGUGGACGUUUGAGAUUUGAGAGGGGCUGCUCCUAGUACGAGAGGACCGGAGUGGACGAACCUCUGGUGUUCCGGUUGUCACGCCAGUGGCAUUGCCGGGUAGCUAUGUUCGGAAAAGAUAACCGCUGAAAGCAUCUAAGCGGGAAACUUGCCUCAAGAUGAGAUCUCACUGGGAACUUGAUUCCCCUGAAGGGCCGUCGAAGACUACGACGUUGAUAGGCUGGGUGUGUAAGCGUUGUGAGGCGUUGAGCUAACCAGUACUAAUUGCCCGUGAGGCUUGACCAU